rnacentral:tRNA from 1 species
GCCCGACUGGCGCAAUGGCUAGCGCGCAAGACUUCUACUCGAUCUAUAGUCCAUGUAUCUAGAGACUAUCUUGAGGUUGCCGGUUCGACCCCGGCGUUGGGCU